CUGGGGAGCUCCGCGAGCGGGUCUAGGAGUCGAGCAGCUUGGGAGCUCAUUUGUCUCAGACCUUUAGGAUAAGAACUACAUAUUAAGGAAGGAUCUCACCUUUGAUACGCAUGUGGUAAUCGAAGUGGGAGAUGAUGUUGGACUGAAACAGGUCAUGACAGUGAGAUGGAACACAAAAACAGCUUCUGAGAAAUAUUUCAUAUUCUUUGCCAAGUGACUUUUCUAGUUUUUCUCCUGAAAGAGCACAGUACAUUUCCCUGACCUUGGAUUUCAGAUUUGGUCUUGUGACUUUUUUAGUCAAUAGAGUCCAACUGUCACAACUGGGGGUCAGUUUCAAGCCUGGAUAAAAGAGGCCUUGUAUGUUCGCACUGCGUCUUACACACAGAGCAUUGCCGAGAAAGGCGACGCGCUGGGACUGAGCGCAGGUUCCCGGACGCGGGAGGAACGCCACGUGGGGCGGAGACAGCCUACGCAAAGUAGUCCUGGGUCGGACUGUCGGAGCCUAAGGCACGGAAGCUAAACAAUGAUGCUCUGCGCUGGUAACUGCUCAAGGUUAUCCCUGAGUGAAUCAGAUAAAAGGGAAAAAAUUUACCAAGCUUGGAACUCCAGGAUCCGUCCAGCUUUACAAAGGAAGAGCAAUGAAUUAAAGUAACUCUUCCAUGAAGUCAGUAGUAAGUUUGGCGGUGUGCCUGCGGCUCUCAGAAGCAAGGUAAUAACCCUGGGAAAUUCACUCAGGUCUUCAUAUCUAAACAUUUUCUUUUCUUUCAGGCUGACCCUAAACAAAGUAUAAAUUCUGUAAAUGCUCUUCACCUUUGCUUUGCUUUCACUAAGAAACAAUAAUCUUUCACUCCUCUAAUAUCACAAGGGUGCCUGUGGAACUAGCUCACUAAACACUCCAUACAUGUACAACGUUAUGGUCUUGUGUUUGAAAGAAUACCAAUUUUAUUCAACUUAAAUAUAAAGCAUAAAUUAGUAUGAAGCACUACAUCUUAAUUUUAACACUGCAAAUUACUAGGAAAAUAAUGGGUACUUAUAAGUAUUUUUUUAAGGUUGUGCUGCUGCAUAUAGCUUAAAGAAAUAAAUGGCAAAAUGCUCUCUAGAGGGAAAUAAGGAAGAAAGGCUGUGCAGUGCUCCUCUGUCCACACAUAAAAUUUCCCAGCUAGGGAAUGAAAAAGUCAUGUGAAGAGCUCCAAGCCAGUUUCUGUAUUUACUUAAAGAAAUUAAUUAGGGCUAUGUGUACAGUGACCAGUCAUAAUUUUAGAAGUCGUCAGGUGAGGAAAUCUUAACAAGAGCAGUUUCAUGUAUAUAUAAAUAUGAGAAAACAUUAUUGCAAAAUCUAAUGGUGAUAGACUUCAUAAGAACUUUUCAGAUGUGU
rnacentral:lncRNA from 1 species